rnacentral:rRNA from 1 species
GGUGCACCAGUCGCGAAAACUCCGCAAUACACGAAAGUGUGACGGGGCUAUCCCGAGUGCCGUCCGCUGAGGAUGGCUUUUCCCCAGUGUAGACAGCUGGGGGAAUAAGGAGAGGGCAAGUCUGGUGUCAGCCGCCGCGGUAAUACCAGCUCUUCGAGUGGUAGGGAUGUUUAUUGGGCCUGAAGCAUCCGUAGCCGGCUGAGCAAGUUCUCUGUUAAAUCCAGCGAUUUAAUCGUUGGAUUGCGGGGAAUACUGUUCGGCUUGGGGGCGGGAGAGGCCGUCGGUAUUCUUGGGGUAGGGGUAAAAUCUUCUGAUCCAUGGAAGACCACCAGUGGCGAAGGCGGUCCACCAGAACGCGCUCGACGGUGAGGGAUGAAAGCUGGGGGAGCGAACCGGAUUAGAUACCCGGGUAGUCC